UUCAUAAAUCAAAUAUGAUGUGCGUGCAAAUGUCCCUUGAAUGUGAAAUUUAAACAGUUAUAUUAUAUAGAGCGAUCUUGUAUCUUUUGAGCAUUUGGAGGAAACCACGCAAUUCAUAUGGAUUACUUUGGCGAUGUUUUUUUUUGUUUGUUUUGCGAUGAACUUUUUGAAACGUGAACAUAUUGGUGAAUCGUCUUUCAUCGGAGGGACGUACAUAUUUCAUUAAAAUAUCUCCGCUUUCUUCCGACGAUGAACGAAGGUCUUAGAUGGUUUGGAGCAUCUUAAGGCUUCGAGCGUGUAUGGCGUCUGGCUUCGGAACCUCACUGUGACUUCAGAUAAGAACAAAGAUCAAAUUGUAAGAAGGGUUGCUUAUAAGAGAGCAUACAGUACAUCUGAAACUGCUGAGGCUGGGAAGGUUUUUAACUAUUACCGAGCAGGUACAUUGUACUCCGCGUACUGUCAUUUUUAAAAAGAAAACAAAUCAUCAAUCAUCAUUUGCUUUUUGUAUGUGUGUGUGUGUGUGGAAUAUUAACAUUUGUUAUUUUUCUGAUCAGCUGCUGUAGAAGACAAACUGAAAUCUGAGUGCAGAG